UACAGAGGUCCCGAGCGUUGUUCGGAUUCAUUGGGCGUAAAGGGUGCGUAGGUGGCGCCGUAAGUGGGGUGUGAAAUCCCGGGGCUUAACCCCGGGACUGCAUUCCAUACUGCGGUGCUUGAGGACUGGAGAGGAGACUGGAAUUUACGGUGUAGCGGUGAAAUGCGUAGAUAUCGUAAGGAAGACCAGUGGCGAAGGCGGGUCUCUGGACAGUUCCUGACGCUGAGGCACGAAGGCCAGGGGAGCAAACGGGG
rnacentral:rRNA from 1 species